GAGUGGCGGACGGGUGAGUAACACGUAGGUAACCUGCCCCGGAGCGGGGGAUAACAUUUGGAAACAGAUGCUAAUACCGCAUAACAACAAAAGCCACAUGGCUUUUGUUUGAAAGAUGGCUUUGGCUAUCACUCUGGGAUGGACCUGCGGUGCAUUAGCUAGUUGGUAAGGUAACGGCUUACCAAGGCGAUGAUGCAUAGCCGAGUUGAGAGACUGAUCGGCCACAAUGGAACUGAGACACGGUCCAUACUCCUACGGGAGGCAGCAGUAGGGAAUCUUCCACAAUGGGCGCAAGCCUGAUGGAGCAACACCGCGUGAGUGAAGAAGGGUUUCGGCUCGUAAAGCUCUGUUGUUGGAGAAGAACGUGCGUGAGAGUAACUGUUCACGCAGUGACGGUAUCCAACCAGAAAGUCACGGCUAACUACGUGCCAGCAGCCGCGGUAAUACGUAGGUGGCAAGCGUUAUCCGGGAUUUAUUGGGCGUAAAGCGAGCGCAGGCGGUUGCUUAGGUCUGAUGUGAAAGCCUUCGGCUUAACCGAAGAAGUGCAUCGGAAACCGGGCGACUUGAGUGCAGAAGAGGACAGUGGAACUCCAUGUGUAGCGGUGGAAUGCGUAGAUAUAUGGAAGAACACCAGUGGCGAAGGCGGCUGUCUGGUCUGCAACUGACGCUGAGGCUCGAAAGCAUGGGUAGCGAACAGGAUUAGAUACCCUGGGUAGUCCAUGCCGUAAACGAUGAGUGCUAGGUGGUUGGGAGGGUUUCCGCCCUUCAGUGCCGGAGCUAACGCAUUAAGCACUCCGCCCUGGGGAGUACGACCGCAAGGUUGAAACUCAAAGGAAUUUGACGGGGGCCCGCACAAGCGGUGGAGCAUGUGGUUUAAUUCGAAGCUACGCGAAGAACCUUACCAGGUCUUGACAUCUUGCGCUAACCUUAGAGAUAAGGCGUUCCCUUCGGGGACGCAAUGACAGGUGGUGCAUGGUCGUCGUCAGCUCGUGUCGUGAGAUGUUGGGUUAAGUCCCGCAACGAGCGCAACCCUUGUUACUAGUUGCCAGCAUUAAGUUGGGCACUCUAGUGAGACUGCCGGUGACAAACCGGAGGAAGGUGGGGACGACGUCAGAUCAUCAUGCCCCUUAUGACCUGGGCUACACACGUGCUACAAUGGACGGUACAACGAGUCGCAAGCUCGCGAGAGUAAGCUAAUCUCUUAAAGCCGUUCUCAGUUCGGACUGUAGGCUGCAACUCGCCUACACGAAGUCGGAAUCGCUAGUAAUCGCGGAUCAGCAUGCCGCGGUGAAUACGUUCCCGGGCCUUGUACACACCGCCCGUCACACCAUGGGAGUUUGUAACGCCCAAAGUCG
rnacentral:rRNA from 1 species